CCGUAAGGACGACCUUACGCACAUUCACAAACGGGGACGGCCCCA
rnacentral:ncRNA from 1 species